CGUAGGUGAACCUGCGGAGGGAUCAUUACACAAAUAUGAAGGCGGGCUGGAACCUCUCGGGGUUACAGCCUUGCUGAAUUAUUCACCCUUGUCUUUUGCGUACUUCUUGUUUCCUUGGUGGGUUCGCCCACCACUAGGACAAACAUAAACCUUUUGUAAUUGCAAUCAGCGUCAGUAACAAAUUAAUAAUUACAACUUUCAACAACGGAUCUCUUGGUUCUGGCAUCGAUGAAGAACGCAGCGAAAUGCGAUAAGUAGUGUGAAUUGCAGAAUUCAGUGAAUCAUCGAAUCUUUGAACGCACAUUGCGCCCUUUGGUAUUCCAAAGGGCAUGCCUGUUCGAGCGUCAUUUGUACCCUCAAGCUUUGCUUGGUGUUGGGCGUCUUGUCUCUAGCUUUGCUGGAGACUCGCCUUAAAGUAAUUGGCAGCCGGCCUACUGGUUUCGGAGCGCAGCACAAGUCGCACUCUCUAUCAGCAAAGGUCUAGCAUCCAUUAAGCCUUUUUUUCAACUUUUGACCUCGGAUCAGGUAGGGAUACCCGCUGAACUUAAGCAUAU
rnacentral:rRNA from 1 species